rnacentral:rRNA from 1 species
CAGGAUGAACGCCGGCGGUGUGCCUAAUACAUGCAAGUCGUACGCACUGCCCCAACUGAUUGAUGGUGCUUGCACCUGAUUGACGAUGGAUCACCAGUGAGUGGCGGACGGGUGAGUAACACGUAGGUAACCUGCCUCGGAGCGGGGGAUAACAUUUGGAAACAGAUGCUAAUACCGCAUAACAACAAAAGCCACAUGGCUUUUGUUUGAAAGAUGGCUUUGGCUAUCACUCUGGGAUGGACCUGCGGUGCAUUAGCUAGUUGGUAAGGUAACGGCUUACCAAGGCAAUGAUGCAUAGCCGAGUUGAGAGACUGAUCGGCCACAAUGGAACUGAGACACGGUCCAUACUCCUACGGGAGGCAGCAGUAGGGAAUCUUCCACAAUGGGCGCAAGCCUGAUGGAGCAACACCGCGUGAGUGAAGAAGGGUUUCGGCUCGUAAAGCUCUGUUGUUGGAGAAGAACGUGCGUGAGAGUAACUGUUCACGCAGUGACGGUAUCCAACCAGAAAGUCACGGCUAACUACGUGCCAGCAGCCGCGGUAAUACGUAGGUGGCAAGCGUUAUCCGGAUUUAUUGGGCGUAAAGCGAGCGCAGGCGGUUGCUUAGGUCUGAUGUGAAAGCCUUCGGCUUUACCGAAGAAGUGCAUCGGAAACCGGGCGACUUGAGUGCAGAAGAGGACAGUGGAACUCCAUGUGUAGCGGUGGAAUGCGUAGAUAUAUGGAAGAACACCAGUGGCGAAGGCGGCUGUCUGGUCUGCAACUGACGCUGAGGCUCGAAAGCAUGGGUAGCGAACAGGAUUAGAUACCCUGGUAGUCCAUGCCGUAAACGAUG